CUGAGAAUCAAAGAAUCCUUAUCAGUGCUUCCUUCCUCUCAGAAAGCUGGAAUUCGCAGUGUCCACCCCAAAUGUCUUUUGGCCUAAGCAAAUUCUUCCAAACCCCGAAGAGCUGAGAAAAGGGCUGGAUAUGGCAGGGGGCUGCGGCAGGCUGCCAACGAUGGAGGUUGGAGGAAAAUACUCCCCUUUACCACAGCUCUAAGGGGUGGGAUAAAUACGUGGCUAUCUCUAGUUCCUCAUGUCUUAUUUCUACCUCUCUGCCUAACAUCUAUUUAUCUCUGGUUUUCCUCCCCACAUGUCUAGGGCAUGGCUUUGACAUUCAGUCAAACUAGUGAAGACACAUGAUUACCCAUUUUCUGCUACUCAAAAUAAUCUCUCUCUCUCCCUCUCUCUGUCUCUCUCUGUGAAGAAAAUUGCUCUUUGCUGCUAAGGAAAGUAUUAAAGGUGCCAUGGCACCGGCAGCUCCUUCUUGGGGUACGCUGUGGUGCUGCAAAAGAUCUCUAAAAUUCGGCAGCAUCUCCAUGAAGGCAGCCUGGAUGGCUGAUGUUAGCAAGCAGUGGGGAAUGAAAGGUCUGAUUGGAAUCUGAGGGUGCCAGCCCUUGAGAUACUGAUUUGUAAAGAGUCAAAGCCCAUUUUGGUGGUGGUGCUGCUUUGUUGGGUCAACGUUCUGCUCCAGAAUUCCGUAUUUUAGGCUAGCAGCAUAACGAAGCCUUGGGCAGCAUCUGCUGCACCUUUCCCAGUACAUGGGACUGUGAUUGGUGUUACCAGUCACAGCUAGAAGAUCUGCCUUCUGAUUCCCCAGUGGGAGACAAGCCAAACCAACUUGCAGAGCAAGCCAAAUAAUUGUUGAUUAGACACUUCUUUUAGCAUGGAGUGUUCUGCCCUUUUAGCUGUCCUGGUAAUAUAGGCCAAAUCAGUUACUAGAUUAAAAGGUUGUUGUAAUUUUUUAAAUGCUCUGACAUCAGCAGCCAACUCAGGAAUUUGGGGGGUUCCUUCAAUGACUUGAACAUCCUACUCCCACUUCUGAGUGUUUGGAUCCUUCCAAGUGAUAACCGAUUUGUGUGAUUUUCCAGAGCGAUCUGUAAAAACUGUGAGGGCUUUAAGAGGAACCUUACCUUUUAGAGAAUUUGGGACUAGAUGGAAUGUUUCUUUUAGUAGCUUGUGUUUUGGAUAAUGAAUAGAGACUUGUCCGGGAUAGCUGUCUAAAUCAAACUGAAGGUAUCCAUUUAUCUGUAAUAGCGAUUCUAAUUUGUGUAGUUGAAAUGCUGGAUAAAUGUAUGUUGGGUCACACGCUGCAGGGGUUCGGAGGUGGUUCCUGUCUUUAAUGAUUAACUGAGCUAAAAGCUCUUGAGGGAUUGUAAUAGUUUUUUUGGUGUGGCAAAAAUACCCAUUCUACAAUUAACAAUUUUUCUGUAGAAGACGGGUCCCACUGAAAAAGCAGUGCCUGGAAAUGUGGGGAUUUACCAAGACUAGCAAACUGGGAGGUUAGAGAGCGGUCAACGCGGUGUGCUUUUCGAGAUGAGAUAGCAGGUGCUACCUUUUGCAGCGUGUCGUGGGCAUCUGGAGUUAAGAUGAGCUGGGAAGUCAGGUCAUGGCUCCCCUUCAGUAGGCUGAACAAAGGGCACAGCUCUUCUCUCGUGAGUCCAAGCAGUGGUCGGAUCCAGGUGAUGGAGCCACACAACUGUUGUAUGUCCCUUAGCAUUUGAGCCUUAUCUUUGAUGGAGAUAUUUUGGGGAAUAAUGGCUCACCCGCUGAUAAGGAAUCCAAGGUACUUCCACAGGGAGGUCUACUGGGUUUUUCAGGAGCAAUAUCAAAACCUGCAUCUUCAACUGCUGUCAUAGUCUUUCUGAUCACUGGGUUAAGGUAAGUCUUUUCUUGGGAGCAAAUUAAAAUGUCGUCCAUAUAAUGCCGAAAUAUAGCUUCAGGGAAGGUUUUCCUGAUUGGAGAUAGAAUCCCAGCCACAAACAUUUGACAUAAAACAGGGGAAGUUUUCAUUCCCUGUGGCAAUGUGACCUAAUGAUAUCUUUUAAAGGGUUCUUGACAGUUGAUUGGUAUCGAAAAUGCGAAUUUGGGAGUGCGGGACAGAGAGGGAUGUUGAAUAAACAGUCUUUGAUAUCAAGGAUUGUGAGCUGCCAGUCCCUGGGAAGUACAGAAGGUGAGGGGAGCCCUGGUUGCAAGGAGCCCAUGUCUUCUAAAACAUCAUUUACUUUCCAAAAGUCUUGUAAUAACCUCCAUCUGUCUUUGCCAGGUUUUUUAUAAAAAGACAUGGGUCAGGAGCUAGUUGAUGGUACAAUGUGUCCUUUUAAUAAUUGUUCCUGUACUGGGGCAUGGAGCACUUCUAAUUUGUCAUUUGGAAGGCCCAAUGAUCCACCCACACAGGAUCAUACCCACAGGGAGGGAUCAUACCUUUUCCCACAGAUGGACAACAGCCAUAUUGAGUGGUUUAGUUUUCAUUUCUUUUUAAUUCCCAAAGUUUCAUUUUUUUCAACAUUGUAAUACAGCAUCUCUAUUCAAAUCAUUAUACUCACCUUGGUUAAUUAAAUAUUUAUUAAUUUAUUUUGCCCCCAUAAUAUCAGACAAAAGCAUAGGACAAAAGCAUAGGAAGAACAACAAGCAAUUACAGAAAUACAGUAUCUUCCCUGAAAAUCCCUUGGAAACCAUGUUAAAACAAUGGGAAGAACAUCAACUUACUAAAGAUAAAGACCCACAGCUCAAGAUUGUGCAUUGCAUGUUAGAAUGGCCAAAGAAGAAAUUAAAACAAGGUCUUCGCUGGCGGAAGCAUGGGUCUACCAGGAUGUGGAUUUGCGAAGUACUUUACAAUUACGCCCAAAAUAAAUUAAAUGCAGACUGGAAUUACAGUAUGUGGAGGUCUGGUUUAAAUAUUGGAACAGCGAAAAGGAAGUAGAAACAGAUAAACCAAAUUCUCUCUGUAAUGAUCAAUGAUAAAGACACAAGGAGGAAAACCAAUCAACCAAGGUGGGACUCAUUAAAUUUCCUCCCCCCUACUGCACCUCCCAACGAACCAGCUGCAACUGCAGCUGAGUCAUUGGAGGCUUCAUUGAGUCAUGUAACUGAGAGGGCUGAAGAAAUUGAAAGUAGCAGUGGGACAUCAGAAGAAACAUAUAUUCUAUCAUUCUCCUCCAGGCAAAUUACAAAUUCAGCCAUGCAGGAAGUUCCAUCCAAUCAAGAAGGUCCAGCCUUCUUCACUUGAAGGAGAACCCUGGUAGUACAAAAAUGUUCCUCCUGCUCCAGCAGUAAAGAUAAAACAAAGGUGGCAUCCCUCAGAGAGGUCCCAAUGGAGGGUGCACAAGGUGGAAUAGGAUAUGUAAAUGCACCCCUCACCUCUUCAGAAGUGAGGCAUUUUAAAAAGGAAAUGGAGAUAUUAUUCAGUGACCCAGUAGGUAUGUCAGAAAAAGUUUACCAGUUCUUAGGCCCUAGGAUUUACCCUAGGGGAAAAUGAAAUUCAAUAAUGCAAACCCUUUUCUCUCCAGAGAAGAGAAAAGUUAUUUAGACUGCAGGGAUCAAUAUAUUGGACAGAGAACAUAAUUUAGGAACAACUGGAGAGAAGAAAUUACCAUUAACAGAUCCAGAAUGGAACCCUAACUCAGAUGAGGGAAGAAAAAGUAUAGCAGAAUACAGAACCCGAAUUGUAAGGGGAAUAAAAGAGGCAGUCCCCAGAGUUAAUAACAUGAAGAAAGCCUUUGGUAGCAAACAAUAAAAACAUGAGAGCCCAACUGACUGUAUAACUCGCUUAAAUAAUAACAUCCAAUUAUAUUUAGAAAGAGAUUUAGGUAGUGAAGGAGGGAAGACAAUGUUCUAGGUCCACUUUGGGUUACAUUCUUGGCCUGACAUAAAACAGAAAUUAGAGAAAUUAGAUGAAUGGCCAGAAAGAAGUUUAGAUGAGUUAUUAGCUGAAGCACAGUAAGUUUAUGCCAGGUGAAAUGAAGAGAAAAUGAAGACUAAAGCUAAGAUGAUGGCUGCUGUCCAAAUUCCUAAACCAAUUAGGCAGGAUGGGGAGAAUAUUCAAUUGAAGAAACCUAUUUGCUUUUAUUGUAAGAAAGAAGACCAUAUGCAAUCCUGCUGUUUUAAGACAUUGAGGGACUUAAGAGAUUCUCCAAGUGGAGAAUCAACCCUCAGAGAACUGAGGGGGUCAGGGGCUCUUCUUCUUGGGGCACAAAAACCAUCUUCAAGAGCCCUUGAUAAAAUCAAGGAUAGGACCCCUAGAACAAUUAAUGGAAUUAUUAGUAGACACAGGAGCAGAGACAACUUGUUUAACUGAAAAACCAAAUGCAUGUGCCAUAAGCAAAGACACUUUCAAUAUUUGUGCUGCUAAAGGGGAAUCCUUCCCCAUUCCCAUCAUUAAGAAUGUCACUAUAAAGGGUAAUGGACUAACCAGAAAGGGAGAUUUGUUUUUCUACCUCCAACAGGUAACAACUUACUUGGCCAGGAUCUCCAGAUACCUUUGAAAGUUGGAGUAGUUCCACAAGAAGGAAGGAUGAAGGUCAUUUUGUUUACUUUAUCCACACAAGAUGAAAACUGAUUAAUCCUACAGUGUAAGCCCAACCAGAUUCUCCUUCUAGACACCUGUUUGCUUCCACCUGGGAAGAUCCAGACACUGGAAGGAAACAGCAGCUGACCAGGACCUGGUGACUGCAAGGGUACAUGGAGUCUCCCACACUCUUCGGUCAAGCCUUGGAGAGCCUGUUCAUUUCCUUUUCUCCACCCUCAGGAAUACAAGUAACACAGAGAAACAACAUGAAUAGAACCAAGGCCAGUUCCAGGUAGGACUUUCCUGCAUUUAGGUCCCUUCCUGCAUCCAGGUACACUCCCAUGAAAACCAAGGGGUCUGAACCCAGUAGGAAAACCAGAGAGGUUGAAUGGUCUGCACCACCUAUCAAAGAGUACCACAGCACUUCAAUCUUCCCAUUGACCCCUGAGCGAGGGAAGGGAAGGUGCGCCCUACUCCUCAUACUCUCCCUCUGGAUCCUGUAGAUCCCCCUUGUCAGAGCCUGCGUCUGCUGCCACCAAUGCUAACAUACAGUGUACCUGACCAAAGGAAACUCCUACCUCAUAAAACACUCAUUCCAGGCACAUUCUUAUGUAAAUCCCUUUUGUUAUAAUAUGAUGACACUGAGUAGAUACUGACAAUCGGACAAAAACCAAUGGAUUGGUAGAAAUAUUGGAAAUGCAAACCAGAAAAGGAAUGGAGAGUGUCCUGAUGAAGAGAUUUGGCUAUAUGUCAAAUUUAAUUAUAUAACGAAAAAGAAGGAUUUGUUAAAAAGGAAAACUUAUGAUGUUGAUUUGAUUCGAGAAAUUGUAAUAACUGAAAGGGGGAAACAAAAGGGGGACAAUCCAUUAGCUACCGAUAAAAACUUAUUUAUUGUUUUAGCAGAACAAAUUAGUAAAAAUCAAAAUAUAACCAAUUGUUGGGUUUGUGGAGGCACCUUCAAAUCAGAAGCCUGGCCUCAGCAAGGAGUCAGUAUUGGACCCCUCAAAUGACUUAAACUAAAUUAUUUCCCCUCCCAAACUCCAAGAGAUCAAGACAAUUGGCUAUUGAGGGACACAGUUCUUGGAGAAGAAUGCAUCUGGAGAAAAGGAAAAAGAUACACUGAGGAAGUUGUAGAAACUACCUGUAAAAGAUAUUUACUAACUGAGGAUCACGUGGAUGUAUCAGUGGUGGAUACUGAACGAACCAGAUACCUUUUGGUCAAAGAAGAAAAUCAGAAACAAGAACUGCAUAUUACAUCCCAAUGAACAACUUUAUCAGUGCUGGGACCCUAAAAGUCAGCCUUUAUUCAGUAUUACCCCAAGUUUCUAAGUAUUGGACCUCCACUUUUAUCACGCUUUCACAUUUUUGGGAGGCCCCCCAAGGUUUAUACUGGAAUUGUGGGCAAAGAGCAUAUUCUAAACUCCCUUCGUACUGGUGUGGCAAUUGUACCUUAGGAGCAAUACGACCUAGCCCCUUUCUACUAUCAGAAGCAGCUGGAAACCAGCUCGGAGUUCCCCUAGAUGAUAAAUUAAAGAGACAAAAAAGAUGUGAAAUAGGGGGAAUGUAACAAUGGGGUAAGGAAGAGUGGCCACCAGAGAGAAUUUUAGAAACUUACGGACCUGCCACUUGGGCUCAGGAGGGGAGCUGGGGCUAUCAAACUCCCAUUUACAUGCUAAAUCACAUUACUGGACUACAAGCCCUGAUUCACGUCAUAUCUAAUCAGGCCAAGAGUGCAAUUGAUUUUUUCAACGCCCAACAGAAGCAAAUGAAAACAGCUGUAUAUCAAAACUCUUUAGCCCUAGAUUAUUAGCCAAAGAGGGUGGAAUAUGCGGCAAUUUCAACACAUCAGACUAUUGUCUGCAUAUUGAUGACCAUGGUGAAACUAUUACUAAAAUUACCCAAAACAUCAGAAAGCUUACACAUGUUCCAGUCCAGUUUUCACCUGAUUAGUGGAAAAAUAUGUUCUCUAGGGAGUGGUAGAAGAAAGCCUUAAUUAUUUUUCGAGUUUCCUUAGUUAGCCUUCUCUUUCUCCCGUGCUUAAUCCCAUGUUUCAUUCAUCUAAUUACCUCAGUAGUACAAAGCAUGUUCGCUAGUCAAAAUCUUCAAACGAGCCAACAUUCUAUGCCUACUGUCAAGAAAAUCAUAAAUCUCAAUCCAAUCAAAAGAGAUAGGAAAACGGGUAAAAAGGCCCAGCAAGUUUAGAUUAAUUUUAAACAAUUAAACACUAUCAACAAAGAACUUUUACAUUUAUGUAAAUGCAAAAGCCAAUGACUAACAUAAGAGAAAGAGGGAGGAACUGUCAUUUAUAAAAUCCCUUACAUGGCUUUUGCAUUUGUGACUGGUUUAUAUUUGUAACUGUUAAUUAGCUUUUGCAUUUAUAACUGUUUAAAGUUACUAGUUUGAUCAAAUAAAAGUGUUCAAAUUAAUGAAGUAAAUAAUAUAAAAUCAUUAUCAAGUUAUACUAGCUAUUCAGUAGAUCCCAACUGAAUGUUUAACAGUCCUGUUAAAAUAGGUAGCAAAAUAAGAACUAUAUUAUUUUUAUAAUCCUUUGUUCUUAACCUAAUUACAUUAUUUGUAAAUUUAAUUAUCUCUUUUUAGUAGCCUUAUACUUUCAAAGUUCCCAGUGCAGUUUCCUCUCACCAACAGCAUGCAGCAUUUUACAGACAAUUUCUAGCCCACUCCAGGUUGAACUGGUUACUUGAUGCCACAGCAAUGGUGCAUACUAAUGAGAGAGAGCUUCCCAUCAAAAACCUCAGAGAUAUCAUCCCACCCCAGUGACAGCACACUCUGGGAAAGAAGAUCUUACCCCAUCAUCUACUAGCACCAAUCACCUGAGACUAUGGGGGCAGGACUGCAAGUACAGACUGAGAGGACCGAGAACAUCAAAGGGGCAGCCUGGCCUGAAGAGCUGUCUUUGCUGUCUUUUACUGUUCCUGGGACUGUGACUUAGCUACAGCAGGGGACCCCACACUGCAGAUUUCAGUCAAUAUCUCUUUUUAGAGACCUUAUUCCAGAUUUGAGGGCAGACUAAGUGCAUUCACUGCAAUGCCCUCGGGUUCUUGCCUUGGGGCCAGACGCCAGUUCAGCUAGAGGUUUCCUCAAUCCUUGGGCCUGGGACUUUAUGCUUUUUUCUUUCUUUCCUUUCUUCUUUUUCCUUACCUCCCUUUUUGUUUUUCCCCUUUAAAUAAACACCCUAUUUUUGUUCAAA